ensembl:lncRNA
GACUUGUCAGGCUGGUUCUGGUUGAAUGGUGCCUCUCCUUCAUGACUGUAGCCUUACGGGAAACAUGGAUGGUGUGACAGAUGGAGGGAGGGAAGGAUGGGGAAGAAGGGGUGUAUUUUUGUGAUUGUGAAAAGAGGAGUUGUCACGUUCUGUUUGUUUUUCAUCCAGAGAUUGAGCCAGAUUGCUCAAGAUUGACUUCAAAAAAAUGUUUUAACCCUAUCCAAAAUCUUGAACCCUUAACUUAACCAUUUUGAAUGACGCGAAACAGGAGGAGCAAUCCAGGGUGUCAUUUAAAAAAAAUAAUUACGUUUGGAGCAAAUGAGACUAUCCUGUACACGGGACCUGAAAAACUGUACAUUUCUAUGUUUCUCAGAGUCGUGGUUGAAAACAAAGGAGAUGAUCGUGGACUUCGGGAAACAGCAGAGGGAGCACCCCCUUAUCCACAUCGAAGGGACAGCAGUGGAGAAGAAAGAAGAUGGCGGAACGAAGAGAGGGCGGUGCAGCAGGUGCUGUUUCUCCUCCAGAUGCUGUUAUUUUAUCUAAAGAUUAGGUGUAUGCCAACCCCAGCUAACUAACUCUUGCAAAGAUUUAAAGCGCAAUUAUGUGUUUUAUCUCCAGUACAUUGCCACGAUUGUCAGCUAUGUAGCUGCUCUACUGAUAGUCUCAGCGCUUCCUUGCUGGGAUGACACAAUCAAUCUACUGUCGGGAAAUGCAAACUCCCCAGACAAACACCUGGGUUCACCAUUCCACACGAGCGGACAGUACACAUCAUACCAUAAUGUUCUGAAUAAUGGCCAACUCUACCUCGCUCCCUAUUCGACUGAAUCACUUGGGAGUAACAAACACAAGUCCAACACCUACCAGAAUCUGCUAAGCUACCUAUUCACUACCCUCCUGCUCUCUGGGGAGAUGCACCUCAACCCUGGGCCUAACACCACCGAACCAGAAAUACUCACCAGAGUGGAAAGCAGUGGAGGGCUGUGUCGUCAAAUCAUCGCCGCCACUGAGGUGGGUGAGUGUUAUGGUCCCAUGAUUUCUCUUGAGUCACCUGACUCCAAGAUGAAAUUUGACUCUACAAACAUAUCCAAGUCGCUAUACUCGAUCCCCGACUCUGCUUCUGGCACGCAAGCUGUUUUAAUUUGUUCCCCGCAUCCAAUGCAAGCGCAAGGGAUAGUUAAUUGCACUAACAAACUGCUCCUAUUCAAAACUAAACAAAACGGUCUAAACCCAGCAGUCAGAUAACACCAGUGUCUCACUCACGCUGGAGUCAUCUGGGACCCACAAGCUAAGCUCAAGGGGUACUAGAGGGGAACUUGAACAUUCACAGUGUCACUUCAAAAUGUGUUCACACAGAUUCCAACCUCGACUUCCUCAACCUUUCAGAGACACAGCUCCAUAAAAACUCUCCAUCUGCUGCUUUGAUUGUGAUUGGCUACAAUGUCUUCAGGAGAGACAGGAUUGAAGGAAGAGGAGGGGGUGUGAUGAUUUACAUUAAAGAACACAUCGAUGUAAACAAAUUGAGUGGUCAUGUGAUAAUGAACUAGAAUGUAUUGGCCUAAACGUUACACUGUCUCCCCAAAUGUCUUUUUACCCUCAUUGAAAUGUAUAGACCACCUUCCACCAAAAGUUUUUUUUAAACCAGUUUAAUAACAUACUUAGGAAAUUGGG